rnacentral:rRNA from 1 species
UGGGGAAUAUUGCACAAUGGGCGCAAGCCUGAUGCAGCAACGCCGCGUGAACGAUGAAGGUCUUCGGAUCGUAAAGUUCUGUUGCAGGGGAAGAUAAUGACGGUACCCUGUGAGGAAGCCCCGGCUAACUACGUGCCAGCAGCCGCGGUAAUACGUAGGGGGCUAGCGUUAUCCGGAUUUACUGGGCGUAAAGGGUGCGUAGGUGGUCUUUCAAGUCGGUGGUUAAAGGCUACGGCUCAACCGUAGUUAGCCUCCGAAACUGGAAGACUUGAGUGCAGGAGAGGAAAGUGGAAUUCCCAGUGUAGCGAUGAAAUGCGUAGAUAUUGGGAGGAACACCAGUAGCGAAGGCGGCUUUCUGGACUGCAACUGACACUGAGGCGCGAAAGCGUGGGGAGCAAACAGG